AGUGAACGCUGGCGGUAGGCCUAACACAUGCAAGUCGAACGGCAGCACAGUAAGAGCUUGCUCUUACGGGUGGCGAGUGGCGGACGGGUGAUGAAUACAUCGGAAUCUACUUUUUCGUGGGUGAUAACGUAGGGAAACUUACGCUAAUACCGCAUACGACCUACGGGUGAAAGCAGGGGAUCUUCGGACCUUGCGCGAUUGAAUGAGCCGAUGUCGGAUUAGCUAGUUGGCGGGGUAAAGGCCCACCAAGGCGACGAUCCGUAGCUGGUCUGAGAGGAUGAUCAGCCACACUGGAACUGAGACACGGUCCAGACUCCUACGGGAGGCAGCAGUGGGGAAUAUUGGACAAUGGGCGCAAGCCUGAUCCAGCCAUACCGCGUGGGUGAAGAAGGCCUUCGGGUUGUAAAGCACUUUUGUUGGGAAAGAAAAGCAGCAGGUUAAUACCCCGCUGUUCUGACGGUACCAAAAGAAUAAGCACCGGCUAACUUCGUG
rnacentral:rRNA from 1 species